CUGUAUUGAUCUCUCAUAUAUAUUUAGUAGUGAUGUUGUUCAACAACUAUCUAAAAUAUAUAUCCUUUUUCAACUAUCUAAAUAGCAUAGCCGAUUGAGAGCCCUUCAAUCAGCCACAAUAAUCAUGUAUUAAACGCAACAAAAAUUCAUCAUCCAAUAGGUUUUAUCAACCCUAGAAAUAGUUUAGCUACUCAUAAUUGUUUUUACAACUACAAUAUAAGAAUUUAUCACCAACAAUAAAGCGAUGUUGGAAUCCGCGUCUGCCUUUGUGUGUCGCGCGCCCAUGGAGCAAAUACAUCUUUUGAAUUUCUUCCAUUUCGCGAAGCGAUCUGUGCCUUUGCUUCACUUCCUUUGCUGUUUUAUGCUUUCACUUUUCUCCUUUUUUGUGUAUGUUUUCAUGCCACGCACGAGAAUAUACGAGCUCCCAAUCCUUCCAUUUUUCUCCUUUUAGCAAUAAUUUAAUAUCUUUUGCUCCAUUAUCAUUCAGGCUCAGUCCUAUAAAUAGAACUGUCAAAACGGGCUAGCCCAAUCCAACCCAAGCCUCGUGGGCUUUUAAAUUUGGUGGACAAGGACGAGCCGACCCGCCAUAUAAAUGGGCCUUAAAAUGGUCAGCCCAACCCAGCCCUAAGAGGGUUGUCGGCUAGGUUCGGUCGGCCCUUCAAUUUUUUUUUUUAGAAAAAAGAAUUUCUUUAAAUUCUUAAAUAUUUUUUCGUGACGUAAAAAAAGCUUGAUAUUUGACAAGGAAUCUUGUAAUUGAAAUGCAAAUUCUCUAUAUCUCUAGCUCUUCUUUUUUAAAAUUACAUGAAUAUUUUCUUUAUACUUUUCUUUCAUUUUUCUCAGAUUCAGGGAUUGCUUCAAUAAAUUUAUAUGCUGAGUUUUUUUAAUUUAGGAUUAACAUCAUUUGCUGAUUUCAUCAUUAUAAUCCAUAAAAAUUUUAAAAUUCCUGAAAUUUGCUUGUGGUCAUUUUUUUUAUGUAUUUAAAAUUGAUCUUUUUCUAUAUUGAAUAACUGUUUAAAUAUUAAUAAUAUAUUAAAGUAAUCCAAACUGAUCAUUGGCCACUUAAAGUAAUAUUUUCUUUUGAAAAAAGAUUAUUAUUGGUCACCUAAAACUUUUAGAGUUUGUUAAAAAUUAAGAAAAAGAAAAACUAAUUGUCAUAUUACAUGCAUAUCAAAAAUCUAAAUUUUAGUUGAUAUGAAAGGGUAAAUGAGCAAUCUAGGGUUGGGGAAUGAGGAUUAUAGUUAAUAGUUUUUGUAGUUUUAUUUUUUUAAAUAUUAAAUAUUUAAUUAUUUUUUGGCCCACGGGCCGGCCUAGGCUCAUCCUCGGUCAAGCCUCAAGGGCUAGCGGGCUGACUUGGGCCGGGCUUAUAAGCAUCAAUUUUAAAAGGGCUCAAAGAAAUUCUAGCCCAACCCUACUCAAGUAGCGAGCUGGGUUUGGCUGGCCUCAUGGGCCAAGCCCAUUUUGACGGCUCUACCUACAAAUAAGAAAUACGUAAUGAGUAUAGUUCACUUCAAAUAUCAUAUAAUCUACCGCAACUCACACGACAAAUGAGAUGAAAAUACACUCAAAAUCAUGCACUUUUGGCCAUUUAUCACAUACAUAAAGAGGUAUUAGAAGCAACUUAACAUAUGACAAAUAGUGAGAGAAGCAAGUUUGUUAUUAUUAACUAAACCAACCUUUUACCUGCACCCGAUCCCCUUUACUCUUCAACCAAGUUACCCUUCUUUCUUUUUCGUCAUUGACAUUCUAUCUACCCCUCUAUCUCAAGGCCUUUCUCUGUACUUUUUAUUACAGUAAGUAGUUCUCUUUGAUUUUUUCCAUAGCUAAUUCUUAUUGGUUUAUUGUUUUGGCAUCUUGCACUUGUUGGAUGAAGCACAUGAUAGUGCUUUUAUUUACUGGGUAAAAAUGAAAAGACAAUUCUUUAUGCUUAUCAAAAAAUAAAAAAUAGACAAUUCUUUAUCUGGACACACUUAGGUAAACAAAUGUAAUAUGUUCUCUUCUUGAAUGCACUCGAUCAAGACCGGUAAAACAACAACAAUUUUUUCAUUCUGAGGUUUCUCUCUUUCCGAUAGCCUAUCACUUUUGAUCUCCCUGAGAUGUCUGUUAUUCCCUAUUUUAACCUUUUUCAUUCUUUUUCUAUAUUUGUUGGUGGAGAUUUCACAAUUUCUGCAUUCGUUGGUCUUUUGUUUUAAUAUAAAUUACAGUAAGUGUAAUUGAAGUCCUUGGCAUAUUUUGAAAAAAUUUCAGUUUGUUGUUUGCACUAAAAAUGCUCUUCUACAAAAACCUUUGAAAUCCAUCUAGUGUUAUACAUCUAGUAAAUAAUUCAGACACGCAACAUAAAACCCCUAUGGAUAGAACCAGUUAGAGGAGAUAAUAUAAUCUUUCAUCCCUGUUAGUAUGCCCAUCAAUUUGAAGCACUUGCAAGUUCAAGUCGCAUCAGUGCAUAGAAUCUCAACUCUAUUUUAAUAAUUCAGGAGCUUAGUGUAAGCACAAUGAACCUUAUUUUCCAAAGCAAUUUUCGACAAUUGCAUUGGCUUAAAGUUACAAAGAAUUCAAACAAGCAACCAAAAGAAUACACCUUUUAACACCACUUAGUUCAGCCCAAUCUCUGUUGUGCAAACUCCCAACACCCACAAAUUCAUAAAACCCCGUAAACAUCGGCACCGCUAUUGAGCACUCGCAGAGUACACAUAAAACAAGGGAAAAAACUGAGCUCCAAGAAAAGUGUUACACAUAGAUAAAGCAAGAUCUAGAACAUUUUAGAGCAAGGUCGAAAGGGAAAGUGAAAACUUUUGUGUUGGUGGUUAAAGGCCUUACUACAGGAAUUCAAAAAAUAAAUAGAAGACAGACAGAUUGAACUCGCCGGGAGCUAGAAACAAAGAGCCCUAAUCCCCAUCAUCUAUUGCUGACAUAGCCCAUUUAACGGACAAAUCAGAAGUAAUGAGCAAGGAGCUUCUGAGGAAGAGCAGACAACGACGAUGAUCGAGAGAAGAAGAGAGAGAGAGACAACGAAGGGAAUAGAGAGAGAUCCGGAAGGAACAAUGGAGAAAAUGAGAGAAGACCUCAAACGUGGCAAAUCAGUUCCCGAUUAAAAGACACGCCAAAUCACAAUAGGCAAUUAGCGAAAAAGACUAAAAUGCCUACAGUUUUGAAUUUUUUUGCCAUGAAGCACACAUGUCGAAACCUUCUCAUAGAGAAUGCAUAGAAUCCUACAGAAAACGUGACUUCACUUAAGAUAACUGCAGAAACCAUUGGACCAAAAAUGAACCCAAUUUAGAAGAGAUUAAGAUAGUAGCUUAAAACUCUCUAAUAUCACUUUAUAGUUUGUUGUUUCAAACAAAUUAUAGCAUUUCACCAAAGAGCUAUUUUAGUUUUCUGGCAGAUUAGUUAGAAAAAAUACAAAUUCAAAUGGUUAUAUCAGACUUCAUAAAUGCAUGCAAGUGCAAAAGAUAAAAACUCAUGGGAAGUGUUCAACCACUAUUUACCUCAGUGGUUGGAAGUAAACAAUCAACUAUCAACAAACAAACCACGACACUCCAUUAUCAAGCUAAUCUGUUAACUCCUCUAGUCAGAAACGGACUAAAAAAGUUAGGAAUAGAAAUGAGUCUUACCUCACAAAGAGGAAUGCUAGCAGAUUUAUGAUAUAGCAUCCCAUUCCUACAGAUGUCCCUCUAAUUUUUUUUCCCUUUUAGUAGCAUAAAGCCCAACCAAGUCAUAGACAUCCUAAUUUUAAAGCACGUUAUGCACCAUUAAACAACAACCUGUUAGCUAGGAAAAAUAUGAAGUGGGAUAAGAAAGAUUACAACACUGCAUAAAUACAUGAAAUGGAUAUAAAGACACAGCAUACUUGAUAUUGAUUUCUGGAAAUAGGAAACUCUUUUGGCAUAUUUUUCCUUCCAUAGUAGUUUCUACUAUAUCCACGUGAAUGUGGCAAUAAGCCAAUAACUCUUCAGCUAAAAUCUGCUUCUCUCUAUGGAAGCAACCUUGUCAAUAAUACACCAUAUAAUGGUUCUAAGAGUAUGGACUCUCUCAAAUAGAACAUAUUACAUGAACGACUAUACCAUAAUAUAAAAUCACAUACUAAUACAUAAAUCAUAAGUUUAAGUGGUCCAAAUGGACAUAUGGCCUUAUGCAUUCAUACAAAUAAACACAAAAUAUUCUGCAACAUAUCUUAUAAAUUCGUUGUGUUCUUUCAUGAUUUUUCCAAAAUGAACCAAAUGUUUCUUUGUUCGUCUGGUUCAAGUAAGGCCAUUCACUACAUUAUGACAUAAAUGUAGGAAAUUUGAUAACUUAAACAUUUUAGAAACAGGACGCUUUCAGUUUUUUUUCUCCUCCAAACAGUAGUUCUUUUUACUCUUCCAACUUCCCCAUAAAGCAACAGGGGAUAAAAAGCAAUUCCACACUGAAACUUUUUACUAUUACUAUACGAAAUUGAAGAAUUCUAACCAUCAUGACGUUAUGGCUGAAAUGAGUGUAUAAAGAGGCAUAAACCAGUAGACAUAAGGAAAAAUCAUAAAACCCCAAGUCGAAAAAAGAAAUUCAAAAGCAACUUUACCAACAAUCGUUACUUCUAUACCAAUAGUUCAUUAACAAUCUAAACAACGAUUUUUCAGUAAAUAUCGACAAAAUAGAAAAGAAACGUGUAGAAAGGCUUAACAGAAGUAGGUAUAAUAAACAAAGUAGUAAUGAAGAGAGGUUAUUGUAUGACAUAUAAGUGUAACAAAAGGAUAAUUCAUACAUAAAAUAUCAAAACUUACUCAUAAUAAUGAAAAACCGAUUUUCUAUAUAUACCCAUUAGGAGACGGGAAAAGCAACACUGAACUGCAAGUAUAUAGACACACAAGCAACGAAUCAACGACAUGGAUUUAUAGACACUCAUUUGCCACACAUCUAAGUUUUUCUUCAUUAAUACCGUUCGCUCAAGUCGAGAGCAGAUAUUUUGUAGAAACAGACAAACUACCAAAGGUUGUGUUGAAAGUGUGUAUACUUUAAUUCUUGUUACUUACGCUAUGAAACCAACAUAUGUGAGAGGAAACAAAUAAAAACUACCGCAACCAAAUCUAUACUGAGAAAAUCAUUUGUAUUAAGAAAUUGCAACCAAAUCUAAGUAUAGAAUCUAUCGUCUAAUUUCUGAAGUUUAUAGAGCUACAUCGAAUUUUAAAAUUGGAAUUUGGAUAUUUGGAAUUUUCUAAUGAAAUUGGAGUAACACAGUCAACCAAGAGAUUCCGACCAAGUUAAAUCUGCCGAAUCAACAGAGAUACAUGCAUUCCACGAUCAGAAUUAAACAAAGGGGAGGGCAACACUUGAGAUGGAAAAAAAGGAAGAAGAGACGCAGAACAUGAAGGAAACAAAGAGAGAGAGAAAAUUUACCUUUGUUUCUGGUGAAGGGCUCCAUGUUGUCUCUCCUUUCUGCCCUAUACACUUCUCCUUCAUGCCAAAAAUCAUCAUAGCUAACAGUGAACUGGGAAAAGUACCUUUGAGAAGACCGGAGAGAACUCAUGGGAAAAGGAUCGAAAGAAGAGGAAGAGCUACACAAUUAAGCAGUGGC
rnacentral:lncRNA from 1 species